rnacentral:lncRNA from 1 species
GUGGGCCUGGGGCCUGGUGGGAGGCGAGCGUGUUUCUGAGGAACAGGCUUGUGCGCCGAGAGUUGCCCGUCAGGUCGCGGGACAGCUGUGCGGCGCGCGGAGCGAGGGGGGGGAUCUCUUCGUGCGCGUCACACGUUCAUGGAACGGGCGGUGUGUGCCGGGCACGGGGCCAGCCUGGGGAUGCGGUGCCCGGGAGUCGGGCGCUGAAGCGGCCCCUGUGGUCUUGGCUCCUUGGAACCAAGUCUUGCUGGAAGGACAGACGUGAAGAAGAUAGUGACGUUGGUCUCGAUGGGUUCUGAGGAGUGCAGCUCUCCGUCUUCCCCCAGUACAUAGUUGUAUAUUCUUAGUUGUGGGUCCUUCUACUUGUGGCAUGUGGGACGCCGCCUCAUCGUGGUUUUGAUGAGCAGUGCCAUGUCCGCGCCCAGGAUUCGAACCAACGAAACACUGGGCCACCUGCAGCGGAGCGCGUGAAAUUAACCACUCGGUUAAUUUCGGAAGAAAUUCGGUUAAUUUGGAAGAAAUCCAGUUUCUUCCCCAGAAUCUCGGCCUCCUCCAAAAUAGACACAGAUGUCGGACACUGUCAUCCUGGAACUCAGAGCUCAGCGGGGAAGAUGGAGUAUGAAUAAAGUGUUACAACGCAACCCAGCAUCUGGGAGAGGAGGAUGAGUUAACCAGACAAAGAGUGACUGCAGAAGCAAUCCAGGGAGAAAACCAGCCCGUGUGAAGGUCUUGAGGUGUCCAGCUUCUGCAGGAGGAAGUACAGAAGCUCCGAGAUUAGACCACACAGGGUCAAAACCUGCUCCUGCCGCUGACUGGCUGUCUGUCCUUCAUCAGGUCAUUUAACCUCU